rnacentral:rRNA from 1 species
GAUGAACGCUGGCGGCGUGCUUAACACAUGCAAGUCGAACGGUGAAAGAGAGCUUGCUCUCUGGAUCAGUGGCGAACGGGUGAGUAACACGUGAGCAAUCUGCCCCUGACUCUGGGAUAAGCGCUGGAAACGGCGUCUAAUACCGGAUACGAGCUGCGAAGGCAUCUUCAGCAGCUGGAAAGAACUUCGGUCAGGGAUGAGCUCGCGGCCUAUCAGCUAGUUGGCGAGGUAACGGCUCACCAAGGCGUCGACGGGUAGCCGGCCUGAGAGGGCGACCGGCCACACUGGGACUGAGACACGGCCCAGACUCCUACGGGAGGCAGCAGUGGGGAAUAUUGCACAAUGGGCGAAAGCCUGAUGCAGCAACGCCGCGUGAGGGACGACGGCCUUCGGGUUGUAAACCUCUUUUAGCAGGGAAGAAGCGAAAGUGACGGUACCUGCAGAAAAAGCACCGGCUAACUACGUG